AUGACAGCUGAUCCAUCGACAUUUGCGCAACUGAUAUUGAAAUUUUCACACCUAAGUGCAAAUCCAAUUUCAUAUGGGAAGAUGUUGAAUUUCCCGGCUGAAAAUUGCUUAACGGUUGAAUCUCGAUGAAAGAGAAAAAAUUUGAUACUAAAUGUAGCCUUUUGACUGAAUUGGUGAAGUGAAAAGUUGAGAUUUUGUGUUGAGACGAAGCGUCCUCGUCGAAGGAUUUGAAUAUUAUGCCAUUCCGUUGCGGAACUGGCAAAAGGAGCAAUCGGUCGGUUCGAUGCAUACUUUUGGGUGCUCGUAAAGUCAGCAAGUGACCCGAGAUUGGUUGUGAGACCAAAUCUGUCUCGCCUCGUGGUCGUUCUGGCGCCGGCGUUGCUCGACUUAUAUCGUUCAGCUUGACGCUUUUUUUAGUAAGAUUCGUUCCUUUCAAAGCUCGAGUGAAUCCUAACUAAAUUUGAGAUAUCUGGUUGAUCCUGCCUGAACUGAUGUGUUCAUUUCAAAGAUUAAGCCAUGCAUGUAUAAGUUUAAUCGUUUUAACGAGAAACCGCGAGUGCUUCAAACAGGCGUUUUCGCUUGAAUGAUCGUGCAUGGAAUAAUAGAAAACGAUUUCGGUUCAGUUUUAUUGGUUUUACGGACUGAGAUAAUGGUUAACAGAGACAAACGGGGGCAUUUGUAUGGCCCCGUGAGAGGUGAAAUUCUUGGACCGUGGCCAGACAAACUACAGCGAAAGCAUUUGCCAAGAAUGUCUUCAUUAAUCAAGAACGAAAGUCAGAGGUUCGAAGGCGAUCAGAUACCGCCCUAGUUCUGACCGUAAACGAUGCCAACUAGCGAUCCGCCGAUGGAAAUUAUAUUGCCUUGGUGGGGAGCUUCCCGGAAACGAAAGUCUUCCGGUUCCGGGGAAGUAUGGUUGCAAAGCUGAAACUUAAAGGAAUUGACGGAAGGGCACCACCAGGAGUGGAGCCUGCGGCUUAAUUUGACUCAACACGGGGAAACUAACCCGGCCCGGACACUGUGAGGAUUGACAGAUUGAUAGCUUUUUCAUGAUUCAGUGGAUGGUGGUGCAUGGCCGUUCUUAGUUCGUGGAGUGAUUUGUCUGGUUUAUUCCGAUAACGAGCGAGACUCUAACCUACUAAAUAGCUGGUACAUAAUUUACGUGUAUACAGCUUCUUAGAGGGAUUUGCGGUGUUCAGCCGAAAGAAAUUGAGCAAUAACAGGUCUGUGAUGCCCUUAGAUGUCCGGGGCUGCACGCGCGCUACACUGGCAAAAUCAACGUGCUUGUCCUACCCCGAAAGGGGCGGGUAAACCAUUGAAAAUUUGCCGUGAUUGGGAUCGGAAAUUGCAAUUAUUUUCCGUGAACGAGGAAUUCCAAGUAAGUGCGAGUCAUCAGCUCGCGUUGAUUACGUCCCUGCCCUUUGUACACACCGCCCGUCGCUGCCCGGGACUGAGCCAUUUCGAGAAAUUUGGGGACCGUUGAUUUAAUUUUUCUAAAUUACUUUGAUGGAAACCAAUUUAAUCGCAGUGGCUUGAACCGGGCAAAAGUCGUAACAAGGUAGCUGUAGGUGAACCUGCUGCUG
rnacentral:rRNA from 1 species